rnacentral:rRNA from 1 species
GAUGAACGCUGGCGGCGUGCCUAAUACAUGCAAGUCGAGCGAACGGACGAGAAGCUUGCUUCUCUGAUGUUAGCGGCGGACGGGUGAGUAACACGUGGAUAACCUACCUAUAAGACUGGGAUAACUUCGGGAAACCGGAGCUAAUACCGGAUGAUAUUUUGAACCGCAUGGUUCAAAAGUGAAAGACGGUCUUGCUGUCACUUAUAGAUGGAUCCGCGCUGCAUUAGCUAGUUGGUAAGGUAACGGCUUACCAAGGCAACGAUGCAUAGCCGACCUGAGAGGGGGGUCGGGCACCCAUGGAAUUGGAACACGGCCCAGCCCCCCAGGGAGGGCGGAAGUGGGGAUUUUUCCGAAAGGGGGGAAAGCCGGACGGAGCAACGCCGGGGGGGGAAUGAAGGUUUUCGGAUCGUAAAACUUUUUUUUUGGGGAAAAAAAUAUGUGUAAGAAAUUUGGCCCACCUUGACGGUACUAAAUCAAAAAGCCCCGGUUAACUACG